rnacentral:rRNA from 1 species
GUGACUGUAGUUUAACGGCCGCGGUAUCUUGACCGUGCGAAGGUAGCGCAAUCACUUGUCUUUUAAAUGGAGACCUGUAUGAAUGGCAUAACGAGGGCUUAACUGUCUCCUCUUUCAGGUCAAUGAAAUUGAUCUCCCCGUGCAGAGGCGGGGAUACCUACAUAAGACGAAGAAGACCCUAUGGAGCUUUAGACACAAGAGCAAAACAUGUUAAGCACCCCUCAUCAAGGAUAAGAACCGGAUGUAUGCUUGCCCUAAUGUCUUUGGUUGGGGCGACCGCGGAGAAAAACACAACCUCCGCGUGGACCGGGAGCACCCCUAAACUCCCUCCUAAAGCCAAGAGCCACACCUCUAAGCAACAAAACUUUUGACCUAAAUAGAUCCGGCAACGCCGAUCAACGAACCGAGUUACCCUAGGGAUAACAGCGCAAUCCUCUUCCAGAGCCCAUAUCGACAAGGGGGUUUACGACCUCGAUGUUGGAUCAGGACAUCCUAAUGGUGCAGCCGCUAUUAAGGGUUCGUUUGUUCAACGAUUAAAGUCCUACGUGA